rnacentral:rRNA from 1 species
GGGCCCGCACAAGCGGUGGAGCAUGUGGCUUAAUUCGAUGCAACGCGAAGAACCUUACCUGGGUUUGACAUGCAGGAGACCGGAGGUGGAAACGCCUCUUUCCGUAGCAAUACGAGUUCCUGCACAGGUGCUGCAUGGCUGUCGUCAGCUCGUGUCGUGAGAUGUUCGGUUAAGUCCGGCAACGAGCGCAACCCUCGCUCUUAGUUACCAGCGGUUAAAGCCGGGGACUCUAAGAGGACAAACCCGUUAAGGGUGGAAGGUGGGGAUGACGUCAAGUCAGCAUGGCCCUUACAUCCAGGGCUGCACACGUGCUACAAUGCCCGGUACAAAUGGAGGCGAAUCCGCGAGGAGGAGCAAAACCAUAAAGCCCGGGCUCAGUUCAGAUUGCAGUCUGCAACUCGACUGCAUGAAGUUGGAAUCGCUAGUAAUGGUGCAUCAGCAACGGCA